AUUGAACGCUGGCGGAAUGCUUUACACAUGCAAGUCGAACGGUAGAGGGGGCAACCCCUCGAGAGUGGCGAACGGGUGAGUAAUAUAUCGGAACGUGCCCAGUCGUGGGGGAUAACGUAGCGAAAGUUACGCUAAUACCGCAUACGAACUAAGGAUGAAAGCGGGGGAUCGCAAGACCUCGCGCGAUUGGAGCGGCCGAUAUCAGAUUAGGUAGUUGGUGGGGUAAAGGCUCACCAAGCCAACGAUCUGUAGCUGGUCUGAGAAGACGACCAGCCACACUGGAACUGAGACACGGUCCAGACUCCUACGGGAGGCAGCAGUGGGGAAUUUUGGACAAUGGACGCAAGUCUGAUCCAGCCGUUCCGCGUGCAGGAUGAAGGCCCUCGGGUUGUAAACUGCUUUUGUACGGAACGAAAAGGUCUCUCUUAAUACGGGGGGCUCAUGACGGUACCGUAAGAAUAAGCACCGGCUAACUACGUGCCAGCAGCCGCGGUAA
rnacentral:rRNA from 1 species